AGAGAGAAGAAGACAGCGUAAAUGGAGGGAAUAAUUAAGUACUUACGAGAUUUUUUUUUGUUUUUUUUUUUUUUUUUU
rnacentral:ribozyme from 1 species